AACGGAUCCUUCGGGGAUUAGUGGCGGACGGGUGAGUAACACGUGGGAACGUGCCUUUUGGUUCGGAACAACACAGGGAAACUUGUGCUAAUACCGAAUGUGCCCUUCGGGGGAAAGAUUUAUCGCCAUUAGAGCGGCCCGCGUCUGAUUAGCUAGUUGGUGAGGUAAAGGCUCACCAAGGCUACGAUCAGUAGCUGGUCUGAGAGGAUGAUCAGCCACACUGGGACUGAGACACGGCCCAGACUCCUACGGGAGGCAGCAGUGGGGAAUCUUGCGCAAUGGGGGAAACCCUGACGCAGCCAUGCCGCGUGAAUGAUGAAGGUCUUAGGAUUGUAAAAUUCUUUCAGCGGGGACGAUAAUGACGGUACCCGCAGAAGAAGCUCCGGCUAACUUCGUGCCAGCAGCCGCGGUAAUACGAAGGGGGCUAGCGUUGCUCGGAAUUACUGGGCGUAAAGGGCGCGUAGGCGGACAGUUAAGUCAGAGGUGAAAGCCCAGGGCUCAACCCUGGAAUUGCCUUUGAUACUGGCUGUCUUGAGUAUGGGAGAGGUAAGCGGAACUCCGAGUGUAGAGGUGAAAUUCGUAGAUAUUCGGAAGAACACCAGUGGCGAAGGCGGCUUACUGGCCCCAUUACUGACGCUGAGGCGCGAAAGCGUGGGGAGCAAACAGGAUUAGAUACCCCUGGUAGUCCACGCCGUAAACGAUGAGUGCUAGUUGUCGGCAUGCAUGCAUGUCGGUGACGCAGCUAACG
rnacentral:rRNA from 1 species